GGAUGAACGCUGGCGGCGUGCUUAACACAUGCAAGUCGAACGAUGAUCCGGUGCUUGCGCCGGUGAUUAGUGGCGAACGGGUGAGUAACACGUGAGUAACCUGCCCUUAACUCUGGGAUAAGCCUGGGAAACUGGGUCUAAUACCGGAUAUGACCCCUCGCCGCAUGGUGGGGGGUGGAAAGCUUUUGUGGUUUUGGAUGGACUCGCGGCCUAUCAGCUUGUUGGUGAGGUAAUGGCUCACCAAGGCGACGACGGGUAGCCGGCCUGAGAGGGUGACCGGCCACACUGGGACUGAGACACGGCCCAGACUCCUACGGGAGGCAGCAGUGGGGAAUAUUGCACAAUGGGCGGAAGCCUGAUGCAGCGACGCCGCGUGAGGGAUGACGGCCU
rnacentral:rRNA from 1 species